rnacentral:rRNA from 1 species
UACGUAGGGGGCUAGCGUUGUCCGGAAUCAUUGGGCGUAAAGCGCGCGUAGGCGGCCCGGUAAGUCCGCUGUAAAAGUCCAGGGCUCAACCCUGGAAAGCCGGUGGAUACUGUCGGGCUCGAGUCCGGAAGAGGAGAGUGGAAUUCCUGGUGUAGCGGUGAAAUGCGCAGAUAUCAGGAAGAACACCAAUGGCGAAGGCAGCUCUCUGGGACGGUACUGACGCUGAGACGCGAAAAGCGUGGGGAGCGAACAGG